UGCGGCCGAGACGGGGAGGGGGAAGCCUCGCCUGGGGGGCGGCAGUGGCCUGGGCGGCUCUCCGGCUGCUGUUGUAUGGCUGCACGUUGGCGCUACCGGACGGGAUGCUGUAUCCCCGAGAGAGCCCGUCGUGGCAGCGCAAGCAGCUGGACGGCCUCUGAAGCUUCCGCGCCGACUUCUCCGACAACCGACGCCGGGGCUUCGAGGAGCAGAGUCAGGCCCCACCGUGGACAUGCCGGUUCCCUCCAGCUUCAACGACAUCGGCCAGGGCUGGCGGCUGCGGCAUUUUGUCAGCUGGUUGUGGUAUGAACGGGAGGUGACCCUGCUGGAGCGAUGGAUCCAGGACCUGUGCACAAGAGUGGUGCUGAGGAUUGGCAGUGCCCACUUCUAUGCCAUCGUGGACUGCUGUGGUCUCUGCUUCUAUACACGACACCCCCCACCUACAUCGAUGACGUCACCGUCACCACCGGCGUGAAGCGAGACAGUGGUGAGGGCUUCUGGACUGGAUGGAGGACCUGAAGACGUGAGGUGGAGGCACAGGUAGAAGAGAAGAUUCUCACCAUCGCUGAUUCACACAAAAGCAUUUCUCCAAGUGGUUGCAGAUGACAUGAUUUCCCAAAGUGUUAGAGCUGAAGUGUGUUUCCUUGUGUAUAUAUACUGUGGUUCCUUUAUCCCUUCAUCUGUGGAUAGACAGGUGCAACCGUGUGGUUCCCCACGAUAUGAUUUCAUUGUGGUUUUCUGUCUGAAGAGUAUCCCAGUAUGUACCUGUGGAGCAGCUUCUUUAUCCCUUCAUCUGUGGAUAAGCAGGUCAUGUCCUCCAGGUUUCUGCACGUUGCUGCAGAUGACAUGAUUUCAUGAAUUUCUGCGGCCGAAGAGGAUUCCACUGCGUGCUGCAGUUUCUUUAUCCCUUUAUCUGUGCAUGAACAGGACCUGCUGAAGCUCACACCCGUGGACCACCCAGACUGCCUGCCGCUACAGGAUGCCCUCCGCAUCUCCCAGGACUUCUUUCCGGCAUCAGUGUGGACAUUGACCCCACUGGACUGCAGUCACAGUGGACUCCCAAGGGGCAGGAUCCACCUCUGAUGUUCAGUGAAGACUACCAGAAAAGUCUGCUAGAGCAGUACCAUCUGGGUCUGGAUCAAAAACUCAGAAAAUACGUGGUUGGAGAGCUCAUCUGGAAUUUUGCCGAUUUCAUGACUAACCAGUGUCAGCCCAAGACUACCCCGUCGGUCAUUCUGUUCCUGCCGUCCUGUGAGGAGCCCCAAGCCAACAAGGCCACACUGGUGUGUCUCAUGAAUAACUUUAUCCGGGAAUCUUGAUGGUGACCUGGAAGGCAGAUGGUACCCUCAUCACCCAGAGCGUGGAGAAGACCACGCCCUCCAAACAGAGCAACAACAAGUACGUGGCCAGCAGCUACCUGAGCCUGACGCCCGAGCAGUGGAGGUCCCGCAGAAGCUACAGCUGCCAGGUUAUGCAAGAAGGGAGCACCGUGGAGAAGUCAGUGGCCCCUGCAGAAUGUUCAUAGGUUCCAGCCCCCACCCCACCCACAGGGGCCUGGAGCUGCAGGAUCCCAGGGGAGGGGUCUCUCUCUGCAUCCCAAGCCAUUCAGCCCUUCUCGCUGUACCCAGUAAACCCUCAAUAAAUAUCUUUGUCAGCCAGAAA
ensembl:lncRNA GUSBP11 GUSB pseudogene 11